UAUAAACACCGUUGUAACAUGGUAUGAUACCUAAAUAGAUUAUUAUUUUACUACUUGAUUCAGCAAGAAGAAUUAGAUGUUGAUGCCUUUUUAUUUUUUCACAAAAAGCCUAAUCGAUGAAGUUGAAUUAACCUCAUUGGGAACCGAAAUGGUGGUUUUAGUUAUAUGUGAGCAUUGCUGUCUACAAACGAAUUACAUAUUUUAUCAAGUUUAGUUCAACACAAUCAUUACUAGAUUACCCUAUGGUAGACCUCACUUACAUUAGACUGCAGCCAUGCUGGAGCACCGCAUCGAAGAAUUUUAGUCGAACGAAUCGACCUCAGUACUUUAUAUAUAUUUACGGCUCUGGUUCUGAAGAACUGCAGAAAUAAUUCGAAAACUAAAAUGAAAUCGGUGCUACCAGCCUAUUAGUGUGCGACCUCCCUGGGCCUGUUACAUUAUUAUGCAAACUACUUUAGAUAUAUUACACUGCAGAUUGAAAAGAAAACUGCCAUAUAAUUGAUUAGACUCAUAAUUUUCAUUAUAACAAAAGAAAAACUGUACAAUAUGAUUUAUUAAUAACAUUCUUUAUUAUGAUAAAACAAAACCGUGCAACAUGAGUAAUAGCAUCACAUCCUUUAAUGGCAUACUAUUCGUAUUAGCAUUUAGAAAUUCUACAAAUACAGCAUCUUUUUCUUUUUUCCUUUAGAACCUUCCAGCAAAUGUGGUCAAUGUGCAGAACCUGGCCCCUAUUUAACAUUCUCCUACAUCUGUAGAUCAGUGAAUUUUGCUUCCUUGAUUUGGAGUUAUUGGUAAACCUACACAAGUGUGCCUAGAAAAUUUCAUUUAAAAAUGUCUAUUUUAAAAAAAGUUACGAAGAAAUAAAAUCGGGUGGCACACAGGGCAUACCCAUACAUGUAUGCUCCCCCACCGACUUCGUUUCCUUGUAACUUUAAGAAAAAAAUAGAUAUUUUUAAUGAAAUUUUUCCAUCAUUCUCAUUCUCCGUACCAACCUAUCUUCGUGCACGAUGGAAAACGAUAGCCUGCCCCUCGCACCUCUUCACAGCUAUAUAUCACAGCAGGGGUUUUCAAACUGUGGUCCGCAAGGACAAGACAGGGGGUCCGAGGACAGCAAAUACUUUUUAUGGGCAAUUUGAUUUUAUAUAUGUUUUUUAAUCGAAAUCUUUUAAUUGACAAUAAACCUAUUUUGUUAAAUACUGUUAAAUAAAUGUAAAAAUAUGUUAUUUUAAGCAAAUAUUUAUGUAUAAAUUUCUUAAGCGUUUAUAAGGGGGUCCCUAAGGUAAAGCCUGAAAUAUAAAGGUGUCCGCAAGUCAAAAAGUUUGAAAACCCCUGACUUACAGUAUUGAAAAAAAAAUUUACUAUUGUGCUCAAGGGUAUUUCCAUUACAAUUACAAAAAAAUAGCGUUUUUUUUCGUGUCCGCCAAAUUAGCAAUAGUUCUAAAAUUUUGCACAAACUCAGAUCGCAAUGUAAUUUAUUGUUCAUCUCCGGUUAAUGCAAUUUCCUAUCCGGAUAGAACGUGAAGUGAGGCACUCUUUGCGGGGGCAUCGAAGUCUAGGCAUGUUAUUUCCUCCCCCAGUCACGUUUCCUUCUGUUCUUGCACAUCGACUUGCAAGACCACAUCGAUGGCAAGGGUCUGCUUCUUGUGACUCCGACCAGAAGAGAUUGGUGAAGAUGACAUUUCCGUAGAAAUCUCUCAACAGCAUUGUACAGGGCAAACUCAUUUCAGAGAAAUAUUCUCGGCUUGAUCUUUAGAAGGAUACUAAUGUGGUAUUCGUUGGUCACCUUGUCUUAAGGUCAGGUCAAAUAGGAUUUUCAUUGAUGACAACCUGAAAUAGAAAAUUCUGAAAAUGGAAAAACAAGCAGUCUGAUACAUUGCGCAUGCGUAUAUCUUGAUGCACGAAAGAAAGUUUCUUGAAAUUUUUUCUGAAUUGUUAAUUUAGAAUUUUGUGAAUUAGAAAAAAAAAUUUCAAAUGAGUUUACCCUGUACAAAUUAACAAUAGCAUCCCAAACAUGACCAUCCAAUCCUUUAAAAUAUUCUAAACCUUGACCAUCUUGGAUUUCUCUAAAAGUGUCCCAGCAGUGUUCAUCUAGUUUUUUAACGCUUUCCAUCCAACAUUCCUAACGUGAGCAACCUAUCUGUUUUAAAAUUCCCAACUGUGACCAUCCCAUCUUUUUAAAAACGUUCUAGCUGUGACCAUGGAGUCUUUUAAAAAUGUAUAUUCCAGUUAUGACUAUCAACUUUUAAAAAAAAUCUUCAAUCCUAAGUUGUAGUGUCUGAUAUUUUACUUGGAUUUUUCCAAUGAGAUAGACUUUGAGAAGGUACAAAAUAAUUGAUGAUUCCUUAAAAAAAAAUUGCGUAGUCACUCUUGGAGCAUGGCUUUUAAAAUGUUUCUGAUGGUUAAAAGUUAAAACGUUUUGAAAAACUGGACGAUCGCAGUUGAUGUUUUAAAAAUAUUGAAUGAAUAUAGUAAAAUGCCUUAAAUCUAGAUGGACACGGCUGAAAGGUUUUAAAAAAUGGGUGGUUACUGGUGAAAUGCUUUUAUAAAAGGACACCCAUUCGCCAGAAAAUUCAAAGCAUACAUUAGCAAGGAUCUAUGAAUUGCUAUUUAUAAUAUGUGACACUCCAAAUUCUUUCCUGUUAACGCAUACCUCUUUAAGUUAGUUUGGUCCAUAAAUUCCAAAGGAAAGGACAAAGCCAAUAACAAUAAAAGUAAAUAAAAUAGCAAUACAUAUAGGUGCAGGCAUGGCUGUGUGGUAAAUAAGCUUGCUUUCCAAUCACAUGGCUCUGGGUUCAGUUCCACUGCGUGAUAUCUUGGGCAAGUCUCUUCUACUAUAGCCUCAGACCGACCGAAGCCUUGUGAGUGGAAGCCCGUCUCUCUCUCUGUAUAUAUAUAUAUAUAUAUAUAUAUAUAUAUAUAUAUGUUGUCCAACCCACUAUCCGGCACCGUCCAAUUCUCUAACGGUUUUUUUCAAAUGAAUCAAGUCAUAACCUUAUCCAACUAUUGUUUUCAUAAUCGGUCAUAAUGUCUUACGUUUAAGAUGAUUCCCAUGCAUUCCCUGAAGAGAAGGUUACAAUUUUAAUAUCAAAGAUCCCUAUGGAUCACACAGGUUGUAAUCCUUUGAAACAUAUGUAGGAAUAAAGUAUGCAA